rnacentral:rRNA from 1 species
AGCUCCAGUAGCGUAUAUUAAAGUUGUUGCAGUUAAAAAGCUCGUAGUUGGAUUUCUGACUGACCCAGAUGGCCCGGUUGCUCUUAGCUUCUGAGUGCUGUCUGCGCGUUUGUCAUCCUUCCAGAAAGUUGUGCCUACCGCUUCCGCGGCCGGGCGCUACGAUCUGGUUCUUUUACUUUGAAAAAAUUAGAGUGUUUCAAGCAGACUUACGUCUUGAAUACAUUAGCAUGGAAUAAUAAUAUAGGACUUUGGUUCUAUUUUGUUGGUUUCUAGGACUGAAGUAAUGAUUGAUAGGGAUAGUUGGGGGUGCUAGUAUUCAGCGGCCAGAGGUGAAAUUCUUGGAUUCGCUGAAGACUAACUACUGCGAAAGCAUUCACCAAGGAUGUCUUCUUUA